UGUAAGAAACUGAUGCCAUGGAAGAUGUUACAACCACUCUCUUGAGAGAAGGAACCUUUGCACAUGACUUUAGCACAUUUAGUGUUCCCUUUACUGCAGGAUCAAUCAAAUCUGACUGAAAUAUGAAGAAUUAGGAAAAGAAAAAAUAAAGACGACCCUGUGAAAUUAGAUCACAAGAAAGAUUUGCAAACCAAAUAUGUUGUGAAAGCACACAUCCCGUGUUUGAACAAUAAAUUAUGCAAAUUUGAACUCGUAUGAGGCUUCAAGUAUCAUAGCUCAAGCCUUAGAAUUGACGCAUAUAAGAGAUUCCUAGAAAACUAUUGAGAGGAAAAAUUGAUUAGAAUUAGCAUCAACUUCACCUGAGGUUCAUUGGUUGAAAGAAUGACAGGAGAAGCUGUA
rnacentral:misc_RNA from 1 species